ensembl:lncRNA
GCAUUUUGAGGAAACGCGCGUACAGAAUCGCCUCUUUUUAGGCGGCUUUUUUCAUAUCUGGAAAAGAGAGAGAGUGAGAGAGAGUCAGUGCGCGAACGCUCACCCCCCACGCAAACAUACACACACGCACGCGCGCGAAGCCGAGAAGCGAGAGACACGGACGCUGUUCCGCUGCUGGGUUUGGAGUACAAACUCGUCCGAACGCACGAAUCGUGGAUUAUUACGCGAAGAACCCGCGGAAACCAUGAGCUGGGGAACCGAGCUAUGGACGGAGGUAGCGAAUAUCUGACUGGAUUCUUCAGACUUCGAGAUGGUUGAAGAGAAAAUGGGGGGAUGCUGGAGUCAAACGAAGGUGAUCGAAGCGAUGCUACAGUACGAUACCAUUUGCGUGUUGAAUUUAGGGUAGAUUCUGUUUAAUGUGUCAAGUAAAGUGCAUGAUAUGAUUUUAUUGUGCACUAAAGAUUUCAGCAAAGAAAUGAAAUUUCAGUCGUUGUUUACUCAACCUGACGUCAUUCCAAAUGCUAGUAUUUUUUUGACACAAAAGUAGGAUGCAGUUCUUUUUAUAUAAUGAUCAUUUAUAGAAAGCGAAAAAGGAAAUAAAGAAAUCAUUAAAGUAGUCCA